rnacentral:lncRNA from 10 species
UGAGGGAAGGAUCUCUGUCUCAUUCCCCAUUUUAUUCUCAUUGCCCAGACACAUACUGUGUUAUAAACAUAACUUGACAAAUACUUGCUCAAUGAAUAAAUGUAGAUAUUUUGUGCUUACUAAAGUGCAAGUUCUUUGAAGACAAGUGCUCAUCUCUAUCACUGUAGUCCUAGCACAGUGCUUAGACAAGAAGGUCUGAUAAACCUUGACUCAAACUAACUUAUGAGUAACUGACAUUUUCUUUCAGCGUUCUCAGGUAACAAGCAAUUUUUACAAACAGUUG